rnacentral:rRNA from 1 species
UGCAGUCGAACGCUGAAGCCUGGAGCUUGCUUCGGGUGGAUGAGUGGCGAACGGGUGAGUAACACGUGAGUAACCUGCCCCUGACUUCGGGAUAAGCCUGGGAAACUGGGUCUAAUACCGGAUAUGACCUGCUACCGCAUGGUGGUGGGUGGAAAGUUUUUUCGGUUGGGGAUGGGCUCGCGGCCUAUCAGCUUGAUGGUGGGGUAAUGGCCUACCAUGGCGACGACGGGUAGCCGGCCUGAGAGGGCGACCGGCCACACUGGGACUGAGACACGGCCCAGACUCCUACGGGAGGCAGCAGUGGGGAAUAUUGCACAAUGGGGGAAACCCUGAUGCAGCGACGCAGCGUGCGGGAUGACGGCCUUCGGGUUGUAAACCGCUUUCAGUAGGGAAGAAGCCUCUUGGGGUGACGGUACCUGCAGAAGAAGUACCGGCUAACUACGUGCCAGCAGCCGCGGUAAUACGUAGGGUACGAGCGUUGUCCGGAAUUAUUGGGCGUAAAGAGCUCGUAGGUGGUUGGUCACGUCUGCUGUGGAAACGCAACGCUUAACGUUGCGCGUGCAGUGGGUACGGGCUGACUAGAGUGCAGUAGGGGAGUCUGGAAUUCCUGGUGUAGCGGUGAAAUGCGCAGAUAUCAGGAGGAACACCGGUGGCGAAGGCGGGACUCUGGGCUGUAACUGACACUGAGGAGC